GCUACGGGUGGCAGCAGUGGGGAAUAUUGGGCAAUGGAGGCAACUCUGACCCAGCAACGCCGCGUGAAUGAUGAAGGUCUUCGGAUUGUAAAGUUCUUUUCUAAGGGAAGAAGAAAGUGACGGUACCUUAGGAAUAAGCCUCGGCUAACUACGUGCCAGCAGCCGCGGUAAUACGUAGGAGGCAAGCGUUAUCCGGAAUGACUGGGCGUAAAGGGUGCGUAGGUGGUUUGACAAGUUGGCGGUGUAAUUCCGGGGCUCAACCUCGGCGCUACCGCCAAAACUAUUAGACUAGAGUGCAGGAGGGGUAAGUGGAAUUCCUAGUGUAGCGGUGGAAUGCGUAGAUAUUAGGAGGAACAUCAGGGGCGAAGGCGACUUACUGGACUGUAACUGACACUGAGGCACGAAAGCGUGGGGAGCAAACAGGAUUAGAUACCCUUGUAGUC
rnacentral:rRNA from 1 species